UACGAAGGGGGCUAGCGUUGCUCGGAAUUACUGGGCGUAAAGGGCGCGUAGGCGGAUAUUUAAGUCGGGGGUGAAAGCCCGGGGCUCAACCUCGGAAUUGCCUUCGAUACUGGAUAUCUUGAGUACGGGAGAGGUGAGUGGAACUCCGAGUGUAGAGGUGAAAUUCGUAGAUAUUCGCAAGAACACCAGUGGCGAAGGCGGCUCACUGGCCCGAUACUGACGCUGAGGCACGAAAGCGUGGGGAGCAAACAGG
rnacentral:rRNA from 1 species